AUACUUACCUGGCAGGGGAGAUACCAUGAUCAAGAAGGUGGUUCACCCAGGGUGAGGCUCGUCCAGGGUCGACUGUGGACAUCGCCUCCCGGUUGGCUGGGAGUGAAACUGACGUUCCGUCUUCUGAUUGGUCGGCUCGAC
rnacentral:snRNA from 1 species